UACGGGGGGGGCAAGCGUUGUUCGGAAUUACUGGGCGUAAAGGGCUCGUAGGCGGCCAACUAAGUCAGACGUGAAAUCCCUCGGCUUAACCGGGGGAACUGCGUCUGAUACUGGAUGGGCUUGAGUUUGGGAGAGGGAUGCGGAAUUCCUGGUGUAGCGGUGAAAUGCGCAGAUAUCAGGAGGAACACCAGUGGCGAAGGCGGCUCACUGGCCCGAUACUGACGCUGAGGCACGAAAGCGUGGGGAGCAAACAGG
rnacentral:rRNA from 1 species